UCAUAAUAAAUACGCGAAUCGCAUUGCUUUAUGCUGGCGAUGUAUCAUUCAAGUUUCUGACCUAUCAGCUUUGGACGGUAGGGUAUUGGCCUACCGGGGCAGCGACGGGUAACGGGGAAUUAGGGUUCGAUUCCGGAGAGGGAGCCUGAGAAAUGGCUACCACAUCUAAGGAAGGCAGCAGGCGCGUAAAUUACCCAAUCCUAACACAGGGAGGUAGUGACAAGAAAUAACAAUACGAGGCUUAAAGUCUUGUAAUUGGAAUGACGGAAAUUUAAGCUCUUUCCGGAGUAUCAAUUGGAGGGCAAGUCUGGUGCCAGCAGCCGCGGUAAUUCCAGCUCCAAUAGCGUAUAUUAAACUUGUUGCAGUUAAAAAGCUCGUAGUUGAAUUUCUGCUGCAUCAUUUAUAUUCCUUAAUCGGUUUAUUCAUGUUGUGGCUUUUUUCUGGUGAUUAUACUUCGGUAUUAUUAUCCAGAUUGUUACUUUGAGAAAAUUAGAGUGCUUAAAGCAGGCAUUUGCCUUGAAUACUUUAGCAUGGAAUAACUAAGUAGGACUUUGGUUCUAUUUUGUUGGUUUAAGAGCCAAAGUAAUGAUUAAUAGGAACAGUUGGGGGCAUUCGUAUUUAACUGUCAGAGGUGAAAUUCUU
rnacentral:rRNA from 1 species